GUUUAAAUUCUUUACAAAUUUUAAUCUUUUAAAUAAAUCAGAUGUUAGCUACGACUAUAUUAAAUCUCAUACAGUAUUAUAAUAGGGAGAAAAAUGGUUUCAAAUAGGAUCAGAACUUUUAAGACUUUAUUAUAAGGAGAUUUUCAAAACCUCAGGCUUUUCAUGUUUAAAAAAAGGUUUGAGUAAUGGGUCUUAGAGUCUUUUGAAAAAUAACAUUUAAGUUGUCAAAGGAAUUUGGUUCUUAAGAUAUCCUUUGUUUUUAAUAUGGUGCACAAAGUUGACAGAUUGUCCCUGCCGCAGUGUCCAGGGUCACCUCUGGGCGGCUGCUCCUGGCUUGGAUGUAUUUCUCAUGAGGCAGGCUUUUGCCAGCCAUUCUGUGUAACUCUGACUUCCUAAAUCGCACCAACUUUUUAGAGAUUGAUUCCUAGUAAAACUAUUUUACAAGUGAUCCCACUUUAAGUUCUCUGAGUAAGAAGUCUGAUCACCUCAGGAUGGUGAAACCGAGUUCUUCUGGAGAACAUAUUGGAAAUAAUAAAGUUAUGUGCCUGA
rnacentral:sRNA from 1 species